GAUGAACGCUAGCUACAGGCUUAACACAUGCAAGUCGAGGGGCAGCAUGAACUUAGCUUGCUAAGUUUGAUGGCGACCGGCGCACGGGUGAGUAACACGUAUCCAACCUGCCGAUGACUCGGGGAUAGCCUUUCGAAAGAAAGAUUAAUACCCGAUGGCAUAGUUCUUCCGCAUGGUAGAACUAUUAAAGAAUUUCGGUCAUCGAUGGGGAUGCGUUCCAUUAGCUUGUUGGCGGGGUAACGGCCCACCAAGACAACGAUGGAUAGGGGUUCUGAGAGGAAGGUCCCCCACAUUGGAACUGAGACACGGUCCAA
rnacentral:rRNA from 1 species